GUGCUCUCUUUGGCAGCACAUAUACUAAAAUUGGAACUAUACAAAGAAGAUUAGCAUGGACCAUGUGCAAAGAUGACAUGCAAAUACAAUGUUAGAAUGAUUU